rnacentral:rRNA from 1 species
AUUGAACGCUGGCGGCAGGCCUAACACAUGCAAGUCGAACGGUAACAGGAAACAGCUUGCUGUUUCGCUGACGAGUGGCGGGCGGGUGAGAAAUGUCUGGGAAACUGCCUGAUGGAGGGGGAUAACUACUGGAAACGGUAGCUAAUACCGCAUAACGUCGCAAGACCAAAGAGGGGGACCUUCGGGCCUCUUGCCAUCGGAUGUGCCCAGAUGGCAUUAGCUAGUAGGUGGGGUAACGGCUCACCUAGGCGACGAUCCCUAGCUGGUCUGAGAGGAUGACCGGCCACACUGGAACUGAGACACGGUCCAGACUCCUACGGGAGGCAGCAGUGGGGAAUAUUGCACAAUGGGCGCAAGCCUGAUGCAGCCAUGCCGCGUGUAUGAAGAAGGCCUUCGGGUUGUAAAGUACUUUCAGCGGGGAGGAAGGGAGUAAAGUUAAUACCUUUGCUCAUUGACGUUACCCGCAGAAGAAGCACCGGCUAACUCCGUG